rnacentral:rRNA from 1 species
GGUUAACCGAAUAGGGGAGCCGAAGGGAAACCGAGUCUUAACUGGGCGUUAAGUUGCAGGGUAUAGACCCGAAACCCGGUGAUCUAGCCAUGGGCAGGUUGAAGGUUGGGUAACACUAACUGGAGGACCGAACCGACUAAUGUUGAAAAAUUAGCGGAUGACUUGUGGCUGGGGGUGAAAGGCCAAUCAAACCGGGAGAUAGCUGGUUCUCCCCGAAAGCUAUUUAGGUAGCGCCUCGUGAACUCAUCUUCGGGGGUAGAGCACUGUUUCGGCUAGGGGGUCAUCCCGACUUACCAACCCGAUGCAAACUGCGAAUACCGAAGAAUGUUAUCACGGGAGACACACGGCGGGUGCUAACGUCCGUCGUGAAGAGGGAAACAACCCAGACCGCCAGCUAAGGUCCCAAAGUCAUGGUUAAGUGGGAAACGAUGUGGGAAGGCACAGACAGCCAGGAUGUUGGCUUAGAAGCAGCCAUCAUUUAAAGAAAGCGUAAUAGCUCACUGGUCGAGUCGGCCUGCGCGGAAGAUGUAACGGGGCUAAACCAUGCACCGAAGCUGCGGCAGCGACACUAUGUGUUGUUGGGUAGGGGAGCGUUCUGUAAGCCGUUGAAGGUGUGUCGUGAGGCAUGCUGGAGGUAUCAGAAGUGCGAAUGCUGACAUAAGUAACGAUAAUGCGGGUGAAAAACCCGCACGCCGGAAGACCAAGGGUUCCUGUCCAACGUUAAUCGGGGCAGGGUGAGUCGACCCCUAAGGCGAGGCCGAAAGGCGUAGUCGAUGGGAAACAGGUUAAUAUUCCUGUACUUGGUGUUACUGCGAAGGGGGGACGGAGAAGGCUAUGUUAGCCGGGCGACGGUUGUCCCGGUUUAAGCAUGUAGGCGGAGGUUCCAGGUAAAUCCGGUACCUUUUAACGCUGAGGUGUGAUGACGAGGCACUACGGUGCUGAAGUAACAAAUGCCCUGCUUCCAGGAAAAGCCUCUAAGCAUCAGGUAACACGAAAUCGUACCCCAAACCGACACAGGUGGUCAGGUAGAGAAUACCAAGGCGCUUGAGAGAACUCGGGUGAAGGAACUAGGCAAAAUGGUGCCGUAACUUCGGGAGAAGGCACGCUGAUAUGUAGGUGAAGUGAUUUACUCAUGGAGCUGAAAUCAGUCGAAGAUACCAGCUGGCUGCAACUGUUUAUUAAAAACACAGCACUGUGCAAACACGAAAGUGGACGUAUACGGUGUGACGCCUGCCCGGUGCCGGAAGGUUAAUUGAUGGGGUUAUCCGUAAGGAGAAGCUCUUGAUCGAAGCCCCGGUAAACGGCGGCCGUAACUAUAACGGUCCUAAGGUAGCGAAAUUCCUUGUCGGGUAAGUUCCGACCUGCACGAAUGGCGUAAUGAUGGCCAGGCUGUCUCCACCCGAGACUCAGUGAAAUUGAACUCGCUGUGAAGAUGCAGUGUACCCGCGGCAAGACGGAAAGACCCCGUGAACCUUUACUAUAGCUUGACACUGAACACUGGUCCUUGAUGUGUAGGAUAGGUGGGAGGCUUUGAAGUGUGGACGCCAGUCUGCAUGGAGCCAUCCUUGAAAUACCACCCUUUAAUGGCUGGUGUUCUAACGUAGACCCGUAAUCCGGGUUGCGGACAGUGUCUGGUGGGUAGUUUGACUGGGGCGGUCUCCUCCUAAAGAGUAACGGAGGAGCACGAAGGUUAGCUAAUCCUGGUCGGACAUCAGGAGGUUAGUGCAAAGGCAUAAGCUAGCUUGACUGCGAGAGUGACGGCUCGAGCAGGUGCGAAAGCAGGUCUUAGUGAUCCGGUGGUUCUGAAUGGAAGGGCCAUCGCUCAACGGAUAAAAGGUACUCCGGGGAUAACAGGCUGAUACCGCCCAAGAGUUCAUAUCGACGGCGGUGUUUGGCACCUCGAUGUCGGCUCAUCACAUCCUGGGGCUGAAGUAGGUCCCAAGGGUAUGGCUGUUCGCCAUUUAAAGUGGUACGCGAGCUGGGUUUAGAACGUCGUGAGACAGUUCGGUCCCUAUCUGCCGUGGGCGCUGGAGAAUUGAGGGGGGCUGCUCCUAGUACGAGAGGACCGGAGUGGACGCAUCACUGGUGUUCGGGUUGUCAUGCCAAUGGCAUUGCCCGGUAGCUAAAUGCGGAAGAGAUAAGUGCUGAAAGCAUCUAAGCACGAAACUUGCCCCGAGAUGAGUUCUCCCUGAGACUUUAAGUCUCCUGAAGGAACGUUGAAGACGACGACGUUGAUAGGUCGGGUGUGUAAGUGUAGCGAUACAUUGAGCUAACCGAUACUAAUGAACCGUGAGGCUUAACCUU